GCUAGAGUGGCAGAACCCGGUAAAUGCAGAAGGCCUAAGCCCUUUUUACAGAGGUUCAAAUCCUCUCCCUAACU
rnacentral:tRNA from 1 species